rnacentral:rRNA from 1 species
CCUACGGGUGGCAGCAGUGAGGAAUAUUGGUCAAUGGGCUUACGCCUGAACCAGCCAAGUCGCGUGAGGGAAGACUGCCCUAUGGGUUGUAAACCUCUUUUGUCAGGGAGCAACGCCGGCUACGUGUAGCCGGACUGAGAGUACCUGAAGAAACAGCAUCGGCUAACUCCGUGCCAGCAGCCGCGGUAAUACGGAGGAUGCGCGCGUUAUCCGGAUUUAUUGGGUUUAAAGUGUGCGUAGGCGGAAUGCAAAGGAAGCGGUAAAAUCGCGGGGCUCAACCUCGCUCCGUUGUUGAAACGGGCGUUCUUGAGUGGGCGAGAAGUAUGCGGAAUGCGUGGUGUAGCGGUGAAAUGCAGAGAUAUCACGAAGAACUCCGAUUGCGAAGGCAGCAUACCGGCGCUCAACUGACGCUCAUGCACGAAAGUGUGGGUAUCGAACAGGAUUAGAUACCCCGGUAGUC